rnacentral:rRNA from 1 species
GUGCCAGCAGCCGCGGUAAUACGGAAGGUCCGGGCGUUAUCCGGAUUUAUUGGGUUUAAAGGGAGCGCAGGCGGGAGGUUAAGCGUGACGUGAAAUGUACCGGCUCAACCGGUGAGUUGCGUCGCGAACUGGCCUUCUUGAGUGAGUACGACGGAGUCGGCAAUUCGUGGUGUAGCGGUGAAAUGCUUAGAUAUCACGAAGAACGCCGAUUGCGAAGGCAGUCUCCGAGUCCUUAACUGACGCUAAUGCUCGAAAGUGCGGGUAUCGAACAGGAUUAGAUACCCUGGUAGUCCGCACGGUAAACGAUGGAUGCCCGCUGUUGGCGAUACAGUGUCAGCGGCCAAGCGAAAGCGUUAAGCAUCCCACCUGGGGAGUACGCCGGCAACGGUGAAACUCAAAGGAAUUGACGGGGGCCCGCACAAGCGGAGGAACAUGUGGUUUAAUUCGAUGAUACGCGAGGAACCUUACCCGGGCUUGAACUGCAGCGGAACGAUUGAGAGAUCAUGAGGUCCUUCGGGACUGCUGUGGAGGUGCUGCAUGGUUGUCGUCAGCUCGUGCCGUGAGGUGUCGGCUUAAGUGCCAUAACGAGCGCAACCCCUUUCUUCAGUUGCCAUCAGGUUCUGCUGGGCACUCUGGAGACACUGCCACCGUAAGGUGUGAGGAAGGUGGGGAUGACGUCAAAUCAGCACGGCCCUUACGUCCGGGGCUACACACGUGUUACAAUGGGUGGUACAGAGAGUCAGUGUGUCGCAAGUCACAUUCAAUCAUGAAAGCCAUCCUCAGUUCGGAUUGGGUCUGCAACCCGACCCCAUGAAGCUGGAUUCGCUAGUAAUCGCGCAUCAGCCAUGGCGCGGUGAAUACGUUCCCGGGCCUUGUACACACCGCCCGU